rnacentral:rRNA from 1 species
UGGGGAAUAUUGCACAAUGGAGGAAACUCUGAUGCAGCAACGCCGCGUGAAGGAUGAAGGAUUUCGGUUCGUAAACUUUUGUCUUAGGGGACGAGAAUGGACGGUACCCUAGGAGGAAGCCACGGCUAACUACGUGCCAGCAGCCGCGGUAAUACGUAGGUGGCAAGCGUUGUCCGGAUUUACUGGGUGUAAAGGGCGUGUAGGCGGGCCUGCAAGUCAGAUGUGAAAUACCGAGGCUCAACCUCGGGGCUGCAUUUGAAACUACAGGUCUUGAGUGUUGGAGAGGAAAGCGGAAUUCCUAGUGUAGCGGUGAAAUGCGUAGAUAUUAGGAGGAACACCAGUGGCGAAGGCGGCUUUCUGGACAAUAACUGACGCUGAGGCGCGAAAGCGUGGGGAGCAAACA